CCCCAGGGAUCCCCUGCCGCCCCGCCCACGCGCGGGGAAGCCGCCGACCUUCGCCCUGGCCGCCCUCGCGCUGCCAGCCGUCCUCACGGACACCCGGGAGAGCAGAUGGAUUAACUGGUGCCCAAUGAGUACAUGGAGCCAGCCUUUUGUAACCUGCUCUUCCAACGGUUUCUAAGAAAACAGAGCUCUUAAAUCUAAGAAAAUGCCUCGAACGAAGCAGAUUCAUCCCAGAAAUCUCAGAGACAAAAUUGAAGAAGCACAAAAAGAGCUUAAUGGGGUAGAAGUUUCCAAAAAAGGUAAGUAAAACUCAGCC